rnacentral:antisense_RNA from 1 species
GAAUGGCUGGAAAUCACAGCGCGUCAUUCAAAGAGAACGAACCAACCAAGCAGAAGCGGAGGGUCUGGAAAGCCUGAAGGCCAACAACAGAAGACGAUGCAACAACUGACUGGGGACGGUGGAGCAGGAGGAAGGGAGAGGGUGACCCGCGACUCUCACUGCUGCUCAUAAAUGGGACCAAGUGUUGUGCAAGCAGAGGACUCCGGGUCACCACCAGGGAAACGCAGAGCGUCACAACUGCAGGAGGAAAAUGGGGCAAAGAAAGAUGAUGCAAAGUUCCCAUGCACCACCUCGGAGCCGGGAAGCCACAGCCCUGGGAAGCACCUCCCGUGGUGCCCACACGGCAGAGGGGUCCUCAGCGGAGGUGGCCUCUAGCCUCUGUCCUACCACGUGUGUCUCAAACGCACCCAGAUCCUCCACCCCAUCGAGGCUUACUCACUGGGAAUAGGAGAUCUAUUCCUGGGAGGAGCUUUGUGUCGGAAAGGAGGAUGUGUGGUUCCUUUGGUUUUUAAAAUACCUACUUUAUUAAAUUACAAAAUUUUAGAAACCUAGUUUUUCCGUAAGGUUUUAUUAUCUAUUAAACCUAGCAAAUAUUCACAUUGA